rnacentral:misc_RNA from 1 species
UCCCUGGUCAGGUUCCU